GUGCCUGGAUAAAUGAUAGGUGUAGUGGGGGUGGUAGGAGUCGGGGAGUAACCACCCCCUGGAGUGCUUGGAGUUCCGGGGUCAAUGGUAGGAGUAGGUGGUGUUUCAAUGAUUGGAGUAGUUGGGGUAGUAGGUGUAGGGGAAGGAUAGUAACCACCACCCCCUGGAGUGCUUGGAGUACCAGGGUCAACGGUAGGCGUAGGUGGUGUUUCAAUGGUAGGUGUAGAGGGGGUGGUAGGUGUAGGUGUAGGCGAAGGAUAGUAGCCACCACCACCUGGAGUGCUUGGAGUUCCGGGGUCAGCGGUAGGAGUAGGUGGUGUUUCAAUAGUAGGUGCGGAGGGAGUGGAUGGUGUACUAGGGGUACUAGGUGUAGGAGUACUUGGAGUCGGGGAAGGAUAGUAGCCACUUCCACCCCCUGGAG
rnacentral:lncRNA from 1 species